rnacentral:lncRNA from 1 species
UUGAUGAUGUUUAUGUGUGUAAUUUAAUUACAUAAGCACUCGUCAAAUUUUGGGCGAAAAUGAGCUAAAAUGGAGAAGAUACGCGACUUUUACUUUUCACUUAAGUGAAUAGUAACUCCGGUUUUCCGGAGAAGCCACGGAGUAGAGUUGGCUUCUGGCACGUAUCGGACUCCGUUCAUAUCAGUCCAAUAGCUCGUUUCGACCGGUUCAGCUGUUUUGGAACCAAUGGCACUGACGGAAUUGGAUUUGGAUGCACAGAUUUCGAGAAAAAGGGGUUUAAUGGUUUUAGCAUAUAGUCGUCUAUAUGCGGGUUUUGGUGGAAUCUUGGAGGGAUGGUUUUGUCGCAAAUCGGAAACCUUUUCGGGCGAAACGAAAUGCUAGAUUCGAUGCCCCAGUCGUGCUUAUCGCGCUGGCGCAAUCCGUUCGGAAAUCCGACGGACGGAUCUUCGGGAAUCGCGAAAGGUCCGCGAAGGGGCUGAUUUGACAAAACGGAUAAAUCGCGAAGAAGCCCAUUAUUUUAUGCACCGUUUUGCGAGUUUUCGAACUCGGAGGGACUGUCGUGCAAGGUGUACCAACUGGUAGGGAGCUGGGUCGAAAUUGAUCAACUUCGGGGGUUUUUCCGCAAAGUUUACUCUACCUACAUAUAGGAAGAUCUAGGGUUUCGAGGUGAAACCCUAACCCUAAUCCGCCCCCAGCUGACCUAGAGCACCCUAGCCGCCCCAGCUGAACCCUGCCCUGUCUGUGCGCGCGCCCCGGCCGCCGGCGUGCUGCUCCGGCCACCGGAAACCCUCCUGCAACCUUCCCGGUCCACCCUCUCGGCCACCCUUUCCUCCUCCUUGGCCGAGAGCAGGUGGGGCAACUCCACCACCUCUGGAAGGGAAGCCCCGGCCGUGAUCCACCUCCAGCACGUUGUUCCCCCGGCUCCGGCCAUCCCCGGACACCGCCGGAGCCGCCUGAGGGAGCUGCGGCCAGCCCGGG